rnacentral:rRNA from 1 species
GACGAACGCUGGCGGCGUGCUUAACACAUGCAAGUCGAACGGAAAGGCCCUGCUUUUGUGGGGUGCUCGAGUGGCGAACGGGUGAGUAACACGUGAGUAACCUGCCCUUGACUUUGGGAUAACUUCAGGAAACUGGGGCUAAUACCGGAUAGGAGCUCCUGCUGCAUGGUGGGGGUUGGAAAGUUUCGGCGGUUGGGGAUGGACUCGCGGCUUAUCAGCUUGUUGGUGUGGUAGUGGCUUACCAGGGCUGUGACGGGUAGCCGGCCUGAGAGGGUGACCGGCCACCUUGGGACUGAGAUACGGCCCAGAAUCCUACGGGACGCAGCAGUGGGGAAUAUUGCACAAUGGGCGGAAGCCUGAUGCAGCAACGCCGCGUGCGGGAUGACGGCCUUCGGGUUGUAAACCGCUUUCGCCUGUGACGAAGCGUGAGUGACGGUAAUGGGUAAAGAAGCACCGGCUAACUACGCG